rnacentral:rRNA from 1 species
AAUAUUGGACAAGGGGGGAAACCCUACUCCACCCAUGCCGCGUGUGUGAAGAAGGUAUUCGGAUUGUAAAGUACUUUACGUUGGGAGGAAGGGUUGUUGGCUAAUAUCUAGCAAGCUUGACGUUACCGACAGAAUAAGCACCGGCUAACUCUGUGCCAGCAGCCGCGGUAAUACAGAGGGUGCAAGCGUUAAUCGGAAUUACUGGGCGUAAAACGGGCGUAGGUGGUUCAGUAAGAUGGGUGUGAAAUACCCGGGCUUAACCUGGGAACUGCUUUCAUAACUGCUGAGCUAGAGUACGGUAGAGGGUAGUGGAAUUUCCUGUGUAGCGGUGAAAUGCGUAGAUAUAGGAAGGAGCACCAGUGGCGAAGGCGACUACCUGGACUGAUACUGACACUGAGGUGCGAAAGCGUGGGGAGCAAACA